CCAUGUUUGGUUCAUUGCCCAUAGCUUCAUUCUUUUAAUUCUUGCCGAUUCUAGAAAAGAAUGGGCAAGAAUGAAUGAGAUAUAGGUGUUUGGAUAUUCAUUUCUUGCCACAGAAUGCAUUCUUCCCAGAAUGAAAUUUGAGCUUCGGCAAAAAUUUGUAUUUUUCGUGCCCUACCAAUUCUUUUUUUUUUUUUCGUUCGAGCUCGAGUAUCUCGACUUUCACUGAACCCUCUCGCCCUCGCUCUCUGUACAAGGUAAACGCUCGCUCCUCUCUCUUUGUAGAAGGUAAACCCUCGUCCCUCUCUCUCUCUCUGUACGAGGUAAACCCUCGUCCAUCUCUCUCUCUCUGUACGAGGUAAACCCUCAUCCAUCUCUCUCUGUCUGUGUUGAGGUAUUUCUAUCUGUUAAGUUAAACUAAUCGACUCUCUCUCUUUGUACAAGGUAACCAUGAGAUCAAAAUAAGGAAACAUAUGUCAUUUUUUUCCCACGACAAGAGAAAGAAGAAAUAGGAAAAAUGAUCAUUUGACUGUUUAACGAUGAUCAAGCAAAACAUAGAAGAAAGGGAAUCGGGGAACACCUUUUACAUUUGUUUGUCUGUCUAUUUUCCUAGUUCUUAAAUUCUUCUCUAAUUCUUUUCAUGUAGGACAUUGCCCUCGCCGACUUGGCUCCCACUCACCCAAUAAGGCUUGGGCUUGCACUCGACUUCUCGGUGUUCUAUUAUGAAAUCCUGAACUCACCAGAUUGUGCUUGCAGUCUUGCAAAGCAGUUAUACCCUUAUACAGCACGGAGAGCAUUGGUAUCAAAUGCUCUGACUUGGUGGUUAAAGAGGUGAUGUUGAGUCMUUUUCUUUGACACCAUGUGAAUGACUGCUGUAAGUGGACUUGCUGGUUGAUUUAUUGUCCAAGAAAAAUAAGACCUCUGUGGGGAAAUGAUAGAAGAAUUUGGGAUGUGGAUGCUAAUGGCUGUAGUGAAGAUCAAUAAAACAUGUCUGUUUUCAUGAAGUCUUGAUAUUUUCUUUGAGUGGUUGGGAAGUUGAUAUAUUUGAAUUGGGUAUGGUGACUACAUAUCCUAUCCAAGGUCUUAUUCUUUAUGUGAUGAAUGUAGUCAAUAAAAGUCUCACCAUUGAUCAGCUUAUGGAUAGACAUAGUCUCAGAGAGGCAUUCUAUACUUGUGCUUCCAUUCCAAAUAACAGGUCAUGCCUCCCAUCUCAUGAUAAACUAUUAGUGCUUCUUGCAAAUUUGGUGGCAUUUUUUUUAAUCUUUUCAGAAUCCAGUGGAUCAUUCUAAGCAGCUUGGCUUAAUUUCUUAGACUUGUUUGGUUAAAUUCAAUAGGAGAUACCAAUAAAAAAAACUAUAGGAGGGGGAUAAACUUUGUGGAACCUUGCAGCAUUUUCUGUUGGAGUAUUUGGCAACAUUGUAACAGCAUAUUAGCUUAUUCUUUACGGUAUAUUUAGUUAGGUCUUCAAGGUUUUUGAAAAAAUUUAAGGGCUCUUAUCUUUUUGGUCAUCAAUUAUAAGAACGAAGUAUUCUUUUGAUUGCCUAUUUUCUUGGAGUUUUUAUUUUUUCUAAUGAUUGGCGUGGUAUAAUUAUUGAUCCAGUGGUUUCUGAUGUAUAGCAUGUUUAUACUUUUGGAGGGAUUUCUUUUGCAGAGGGCUUUCAUUUGGCCCAUCUUAUACUCAUUAGUAUAAUAUUGUUUUCUUUCUGAUCAUAAAGAAACAAGAAAAUGAAAAGGAUUGAAUGACCUUCCCUUGCCAAGAAGCCCUUAUAGCAAUUAUUAAUGAAAUAAUAAUUGCUAAUGGUUGUACUUUACAGAUGCAGGCUCAUUCUGCCUAGAUCAUUGGAUUGAUCAUAUUAGGUGGCUCCUUGAGUGAUUGUUGUGAACUUAUUCAAAGGUUGUUUAGCAGAUAGUACUGUGAGAGAUAAUCUUAUUGCUGACCACUCUCAGUGUUCCCCAGCUUUCUUUUAGGGUCUAUACAAUUGGAUCUUGAUGGUUUUAUUGGUUUGAAAUGGGGCCAUCUUGUACAUGAGGAAUGUCCACCGGUAGUUCUGAUGUAGAAAGGGUGAUUCAAGCAGAACUCAGCUCUUUGCUCUCCUUCAGAGGUUCAUUCUUUUUCUUUCUCUUGAAGCAAUGAGGUUUGGAACUUUGAAACCACUGAAGGAGAUGAAUUGGGAGUUGAAAGCUUUUGAUUGAGCUCCAUGCAUGAUAUGCUUUUGAGAUCAAUUUAACAAAAAUAUGCCUGGAGGCUCUCCAAUUUUGGGAAUUGAUGUGGUUUUGAUAGUUGUACAACAAAAAGAUGGUCCCAUCCCCCUUAUCAGGGUGUUUCAAUACUUUGAGCCUUGCCCUGCACACCUGUAGAUUCUUUUUUACUUUUUAGCAUUUCCUUCUAGAUUUCUUUUGCUGGAGUAGGGGCAGAGGGUUAGUUUGCUAGCAACCGGCAAGCCUUUCUUUUGGGCUGUAAAUUGGAAAAAUUUUAAAUAACCAACACCACUUUGAGAUAACUUGGAAAAAUACAGUUACUGCUACAAUCAUCCAAGGAGAAAGGAUGAAGACACUUAGGAUCUGAUGCAGAGAACUUACUCUUCCACCAGACCAAACCUAUGUCUCCUGCACUUUAUCCUCGGCCUUACAACUCAUCUGUCUUUGUCCCUACAAAGACUUGAGUGGGGUAAGUGAUGGAUCUUAAUUUCUUUUUUUUCCUGGGUGGAUCAAGAAAGGUUAGCUUCAAUCUCUAAAGCUUUUUCUCUGCAAUAAGGUUUCCACUUUCCAUGUGGUUAUGACUUCUGAAGGAUAAAAUAACAGUGGUGCAUAUUUUGUUAUUCACUUGUAUAGAUAUUUGCUUCUUCUCGUAAAGGCUUCACCUAACUUUUGUAGCCUUCAUUUUAGCGACCUGUACAAAAGCUUGUGGAAACCAAAUUUUGGUGGAACCCCAAAUGACAAAAGGCAAAACAUUCAAGUAACUAACAAGCAGUGCGGUCCAUAUAAUAAAGCAAUAAUUGGAUCAGUUCAUCCCCAUUAGCCAGUUUGUUUGUGGAUCAUAUGCAGUCAGGUUCCUAGAAAUGACCCUUAAGGUUGUUAGUUUGUCGACUGAUAUAGAUGGUGCUUUACAGGCAUUCAUUCAGGUCCAUGUGAAGUUGAGAACUCAGACAACAAUAAUUGAAUGCAUCUUAUUGUAGUUAGAGCUUAGGGGAUGAGAUAUUUUCCAUGUGUGACUGUAAUAUUAUAUGGGUAGAUGUGGGUAGAAUUUUUAUGAGCAACUGUACAGGCAUAAACACACGUGCAACUAAGGGCAAAGAUAUAAAGUAUGGUUAUAUAAUCAAGUAUUUACUUUAUAUAAUGAUAGAAUAGAUAAACAAAUAGAAGAAAUGCAAGCUAGCUUUUAUUUAAUACCCAUAUAGAGAUUCCCUUAUUUGCCUAAUUACGGUAGGCCAUACACCCACUUGAACUUUAAUGCUGGCAUGGUAACAACAUACAUGUAUUUACUAAAACAGGUCCACCAAUUUUCAACAGAAUCUUUCGUUUAGCAGACAAAAUAAGAACUGCUAUGUUAUGUAAAAUUAUCACAGAAAUAAAUGUUUUUUGUGUUA